rnacentral:misc_RNA from 1 species
CAACCAAGAUAGAAAAAGAUUUUGCUACUUUUCUUUUGUAUAGCGGUACUGAGGCAAGCCCUCCAAAUCUCCGUUUGCAGAUGGAAGGAUCAUUUGUGCCAAGAAACAAUAUAGAAGAGGCUGUUCUUCUCUUGUUGAUUCUGUUAAGAAAAUUUGCUUACAGAAGGAUUGGAUGGGACCCAACAAUCAUUGAUCACCUUUCGUUUGCCCUGUCUGUUUCUGGGGAACUAAGGGCACUAGCCCAUCAGAUAGAAGAGUUGCU